AUACGAAGGGGGCUAGCGUUGUUCGGAAUUACUGGGCGUAAAGCGCGCGUAGGCGGAUUGAUCAGUUAGGGGUGAAAUCCCAGGGCUUAACCCUGGAACUGCCUCUAAUACUGCCAGUCUUGAGUUCGGGAGAGGUGAGUGGAAUUCCUAGUGUAGAGGUGAAAUUCGUAGAUAUUAGGAAGAACACCAGUGGCGAAGGCGGCUCACUGGCCCGAUACUGACGCUGAGGCGCGAAAGCGUGGGGAGCAAACAGGAUUAGAAACCCUAGUAGUCC
rnacentral:rRNA from 1 species